rnacentral:tRNA from 1 species
GGAAGAGUGGCUGAGCGGCCGAAAGCACCUGUCUUGAAAACAGGCUUACCGAGAGGUAACGGGGGUUCGAAUCCCUCCUCUUCCG